UGGCUCUGGCAUCGAUGAAGAACGCAGCGAAAUGCGAUACGUAAUGUGAAUUGCAGAACCCAGUGAAUCAUCGAAUCUUUGAACGCACAUUGCGCCCGCCAGUAUUCUGGCGGGCAUGCCUGUCCGAGCGUCAUUUCAACCCUCAAGCACUGCUUGGUGUUGGGGCCCUACGCCUGUAGGCCCCGAAAGACAGCGGCGGGACCGCCGGAGGCCCAGGCGCAGUAGCCAACCUCGCCUGCGGCGGCCGGCGGCCCCCUGCCGUUAAGCCCCCCCCCCCGACUUCAAGGUUGACCUCGGAUCAGGUAGGAAUACCCGCUGA
rnacentral:misc_RNA from 1 species